CUAUGCGCCUUGCCAGCCCGCUCAGUCAGAGUUUGAUCCUGGCUCAGGAUGAACGCUAGCGGCAGGCCUAAUACAUGCAAGUCGAACGAGCUCAGAGACUUCGGUUUCUGGGUUAGUGGCGCACGGGUGCGUAACGCGUAUGCAACCUACCUUCCACAGGGGGAUAGCCCGGGGAAACCCGGAUUAAUACCGCAUGACAUAACUGACACGGCAUCGUGUUGUUAUCAAAGAUUAAUCGGUGGAAGAUGGGCAUGCGUGCCAUUAGCUAGUUGGCGGGGUAGAGCCACCAAGGCGACGAUGGCUAGGGGUUCUGAGAGGAUGGUCCCCACACUGGUACUGAGACACAGACCAG
rnacentral:rRNA from 1 species